UGUUGAGUUUUCUAGGGUUCCGCGAGCCAGACAGUGGCCGGACUGGACCGAGAGAAAACCCACGGCGUUUGCCGUGUACACGGAGGGAUAAAAGCCCGGGAGAA
rnacentral:sRNA from 1 species